UAACUAUCGGGAGGGACUGAGCGGUCAG
rnacentral:sRNA from 1 species